AGAUUAGUUUGAUCCUGGCUCAGGACGAACGCUGGCGGCGGGCCUAACACAUGCAAGUCGAAGGAGAAGGAAGGAGCUUGCUCUUUCUGGAGACUGGCGCACGGGUGAGUAACGCGUAGACAACCUGCCUAUAGCUGGGGGAUAACAUCGGGAAACCGGUGCUAAUACCGCAUAAUGCAGCGGGGCCGCAUGGCCACAGUUAUUAAAGAUUUUAUUGGCUAUAGAUGGGUCUGCGUGCUAUUAGUUAGUUGGUAGGGUAAUGGCCUACCAAGACGAUGAUAGCUAGGGGGUCUGAGAGGAUGAUCCCCCACACUGGAACUGAGACACGGUCCAGACUCCUACGGGAGGCAGCAGUGAGGAAUCUUGCGCAAUGGAGGAAACUCUGACGCAGCCACGCCGCGUGCCGGAAGACGGACCUAUGGGUUGUAAACGGCUUUUGUUUGGGAAGAACUAGAGGGUUUUGACCUUCUUUGACGGUACCGAAUGAAUAAGCACCGGCUAACUCCGUGCCAGCAGCCGCGGUAAUACGGAGGGUGCAAGCGUUGUCCGGAAUCAUUGGGUGUAAAGGAUGCGUAGGCUGGCGCCUAAGUCUGAGGUGAAAUCUUGCCGCUUAACGGUAAAAUGGCCUUGGAUACUGGGUGUCUUGAAUCUGACAGAGGUCGGUGGAAUUCGUAGUGUAGCGGUGAAAUGCAUAGAUAUUACGAAGAACACCAGUGGCGAAGGCGGCCGGCUGGGUCAGUAUUGACGCUGA
rnacentral:rRNA from 1 species